AAUUUAGCACUUUCCCAUUUAGGAUGCUUUCAGAUGAGGCUUUUCCUGGGGUAUCACACUGCCUCAUAGCCAUACAUUUUCAUCUUUAAUUUGCAUUCCUCCCAGAUGUUCCCUAAAUCUAGCUGGUGUGAAGUCUCACAUUGUCCAUCCUACCUUGACCCAUCUCCUGCUCACAGACAGAUUUAUUGAAUAUUGAUUUAUUGGAUGGACUGCAAGAGACAUGGAAAAAAGGAAGAACUGACAAGCAGAAUAUGAAAUAAAAGGGAACAUAGCUUCUGCAGCUUCACCCUGUUCCAGACGGAGCAUGGAAAUGAAGAAAACAAUGCCACAUGCCACCCCAUUCAAUGAAUCAGGAAGGCUGCUUUUGUUUAUCCUUGGUUGGAUAUAAUCUACCUUCUUCAGUGAUUCUUGAGAGACUCUGAGGAGGAGAACUCACAGGUGGGGAAAACAGUUGAUGCAGAAAUCCUUCUCAUUCUCCUUGUAAUGUCAGGCCACAAGCACAAUGAAAUAUCCUUCCUUCCUUGCAAGGUGGUGAGAAUGAU
rnacentral:lncRNA from 1 species